rnacentral:rRNA from 1 species
GACCUCUGAAAGUCGCUCGGGUGUCGAAAGCGUGCUUAUGACAUUCUUGUUGGCGGUCAAAAGGUUAGAACGCGAUUACAUUCGUUAAGGAUGUUGACGUAAUGGCUUUAAACGA